rnacentral:rRNA from 1 species
CCUUCGGGAGCCGACGAGUGGCGGACGGGUGAGUAACGCGUAGGAAUCUGCCUUAUAGUGGGGGACAACGUGGGGAAACCCACGCUAAUACCGCAUACGCCCUACGGGGGAAAGGAGGGGAUCUUCGGACCUUUCGCUAUGAGAUGAGCCUGCGUUAGAUUAGCUAGUUGGUAGGGUAAAGGCCUACCAAGGCGACGAUCUAUAGCUGGUCUGAGAGGACGAUCAGCCACACUGGGACUGAGACACGGCCCAGACUCCUACGGGAGGCAGCAGUGGGGAAUAUUGGACAAUGGGCGAAAGCCUGAUCCAGCAAUACCGCGUGUGUGAAGAAGGCCUUAGGGUUGCAAAGCACUUUCAAUUGGGAGGAAAACCUGUCGGUCAAUACCCGGCAGCUUGACAUUACCUUUAGAAGAAGCACCGGCUAACUCCGUGCCAGCAGCCGCGGUAAUACGGAGGGUGCGAGCGUUAAUCGGAAUUACUGGGCGUAAAGCGUGCGUAGGCGGUUCGUUAAGUCAGAUGUGAAAGCCCUGGGCUCAACCUGGGAACUGCAUUUGAAACUGGCGGACUAGAGUUUAGUAGAGGGGAGUGGAAUUUCAGGUGUAGCGGUGAAAUGCGUAGAUAUCUGAAGGAACACCAGUGGCGAAGGCGACUCCCUGGACUAGAACUGACGCUGAGGUACGAAAGCGCGGGUAGCAAACAGGAUUAGAUACCCUGGUAGUCCACGCCGUAAACGAUGUCGACUAGCCGUUGGUCCUAUUUACAGGAUUAGUGGCGCAGCUAACGCAUUAAGUCGACCGCCUGGGGAGUACGGCCGCAAGGUUAAAACUCAAAUGAAUUGACGGGGGCCCGCACAAGCGGUGGAGCAUGUGGUUUAAUUCGAUGCGACGCGAAGAACCUUACCUACCCUUGACAUCCAUAGAAUC